GGUAGCAUAGCCGACCGGUCUAAGGCGCUGUUGAAGUCUUUGGAGGCGUGGGUUCAAAUCCCACCGCUGCUA